AACUAUCUUCAACAUUUUCAGAUGGGGAGUUUGGCUGGGGCGGCACAUUUGUGAAAUGAUAGCGCAAGUGUCCAAAGGUAUACUCAAAAAGGACAGAAACCUUUUGUAGAGGAGAAGGCUAAAUAGUAUACUUGAUUAUGAUAUUCAGUAAAUAUAAUAACUAUGAAAGUAUGGCCUAUCGAUCCUUUAGAGGGGUAAGUUUUUAUUUAGUAAUAAAUAAUAACGAUUUAUAACCCUGUAUAUAACCAUUUUUUUUAUUCUAGAGGUGUCAGAAAAGUUACCAUAGGGAUAACUGGCUUGUGGCAGCCAAGCGUUCA
rnacentral:rRNA from 1 species